rnacentral:lncRNA from 1 species
UAAACACCGCGAGUGCUAACGUUUGGCGCCAGAUUAACAGUCAAAAGAUUUGACGUACCUCUCAAAAUUAUUAUACAUGCAGUUANNNNNNNNNNNNNNNNNNNNAAUGCUGUGCUGAGUGGUUAUAUUACUACCUUAAAAAAUAAUAUUUAAAAAUAAUAAUAAAAAAAUAAUAGUUAUAUUAAUACCUUAUUUUUUCAGGUAGUAAUAUAACCACUCAGCACAGCAUUUUCACAUUGGUACUACCUACACUGGUACAGACAGUUUUAGACUGCUACACUAUUUCUUUGAAAUUUGAUCCUCGAUAGAUCAUAUAAAUCACGUUUUAGGGGGAGUUACUAUUUUUAGACUUUUAGGGUUAGGAUUAGGGUUUGGUUUAGGGAAAGGGUUAGAGUAAGGGACUUAGGGUUAACCUGAAAUACAAAGAGUACAAAAGUCUAAAAAUAGUAACUCCCCCUAAAACGUGACGUUACUUAAUUAUAUCCAUCUAAACAUAACAUCACGAAUCACUUUUACAAUUUCAACAAACCUAAAAUUUCCAAACUUUCUCACGACAUAAAUAGGUGGAAACUCGGUCUUUAAUUUGGUAGCACUCGGCUUUACAUCAAUAAUGAAGCUGCGUUUGUUUUAUCUUGCAGUGUUUUUCCAUUUUGGGCCGCGGUAACAUGGCGUUCUAGCUAAGACCCUGGAGCUAAGUAUAGGACCGGCUGUGGCCGUGCGAUUCCGGUGCAGAACUCUAUAUUAAGGCACUUUUCCAUUCAUCGCAAGCUCGCUGCGAGUACUUUCAUCCAAUCACAAUGCUCGACAGUUUACUUUAUUUAGAUGAAAGCACUUGCAGCGGUCUUGCGAGUCGACUCUUGCAAUGAGUCGAAAGAGUCUUUAAAAUUUAGGUGCUGUUACACUAAGCAACUUGUCUCGCAAUGUUAGGAAAAACGAUUUCAGGAUUGCAUUUCAAGGGAUGUUACACCAAGCAAUAUGUUCCAUGCAACUUGCAAUGAUCAUUAUAACUAAAAAUAGUAUAAACACCGCGAGUGCCAACUUUGACGCCAAAUUAACAAUCAAAAGCCAU